rnacentral:rRNA from 1 species
UACGUAGGGUGCAAGCGUUGUCCGGAUUUAUUGGGCGUAAAGAGCGUGUAGGCGGCCAGGUAGGUCAGCUGUGAAAACUCGAGGCUCAACCUCGAGACGCCGGUUGAAACCAUCUGGCUAGAGUCCGGAAGAGGAGAGUGGAAUUCCUGGUGUAGCGGUGAAAUGCGUAGAGAUGUGGAGGAAUACCGAUGGCGAAGGCAGCCCCCUGGGUCAAGAUUGACGCUCAUGCACGAAAGCGUGGGGAGCAAACAGG